AUAACAAUACAGAACUCUUUCGAGGCCCUGUAAUUGGAAUGAGUACACUUUAAAUCCUUUAACGAGGAUCCAUUGGAGGGCAAAUCUGGUGCCAGCAGCCGCGGUAAUUCCAGCUCCAA
rnacentral:ncRNA from 1 species